UCCCGGUGGGGCGGCCGCCCUCGGGCUGGCGGAGGCGCCGGAGGAGCCCCCGAGCUGCAGCCGUCUCCCUCGGGCUGCUGCCGGUGCUGCGGGCGGAGGCGGCUCCGCCGCGUGUUGGGCGCUGCGAGCAGGGAGCGCUGCGGUAUCGCCGGCAUGACGGGGCUGCUGCCUGCGUUAGUGCUCGUGGCUCUUUGUGCCGUGACAGCGGAUGGAGCGGCGCUGGGCGGUAAAGCCAGAGAUGGCCGGGAGAAUGCCCAGCGCAGGGAGCGGGCGGGCUGUGUGCUUCGGAUGGCACAGGGUACUCACAAAAUAUGUCUCCCUUAGUGUCCCACAGAAACAUUCUGGGUGAAAUCUGAAUUAAGUGCUAUGAGUCUUGAUAAAUUGGAGAAGUGCCCAAGAGAAAUUCAUCAUCCUGAGAUACAAAAGGUAGGAAGUGACUUUUUUUGGUUUGGUUCUUUUUCUUUAUUGUUUUCUGGAAAUAGAAGUAAUUAAGUAUAGAUACUACUGGUUUGUUUCUUCCAGUAGCUGAUAAUACUAAUACCAAUAAUAAUAAUAAUAAGAGUAAAGUAAUACUACUUCAACUGUCUUUAUUUAUCCAUUGAACUGGCCAUUUUAAAUCUAAACUUCUAAACACAAAUCAAACCAUCAUCCUUGUAGAAUCUUUAAUAGGAGUGGGCUAAAGAUCCUGGUUUUGUUGACAGGAUUUAUUGGUUCGUGAAGAGCAAGAGGUAAGUACAAGCCUAACUACCCUCUAGCUCACAGACCUGCCCGGUGAAUAGAGCUUUGUUUUUUUGAUGGGCUUGUGAUGACUUUGAGAUCAAUUGCUCAUUCAUUACAGUAAAAAAAAAAAAAUUGUUUUGAACAUGACAGCAAAAAUAACUUUAAGCACAACUUAAUAAUAAUAGAUCACCAAUUUUAGUUAAUAAUUUUAUGCUAUACUCUUGGGUGAGGGAAGACUCGGACACUCAAUAUGAGAUCAGCAAGCUAUGUUUAUUGCAGAGAGUAUCAGACACUUAUAGAGCACAUAAUAAGCUUAUGAAUAUUCUGUAAGCCAAGCGAUCUAUUGGUUAAACUAUACCAUCAACUCUUCCUCAUUCCUUUGGGCCUACAUUCCCUAUUUCCCACGUCUCUCUGUCUACUUGUUAUCCUACCCAGCUAGGCCCAGGCACACGCUGUCUUGCAGGUGCAAAACUCAAAAAUACCUGUGUUCGGUACUUUCCCAGCUCCUGGUCGGCUAACGAGCGAAUGUCUGCGUGACCUCUGUCAUGGAGCCAUUUCUCCACACUAUACUAUCAAAGUUUAAAGGUAAAUUAUUAUAUAUUAGGAGAUGGUGUAAAGUGUAUGUUGUAAUGUGUAGGAUAUAUACAAAGAUACGUACUUGAAAGUCCGAAGAGGAAACAAAUUUUUACGCCUUCUGUUUGACUGUUUGUCAUAUAUUUGGUUUUAUUUCCCAGGGAUCAGUGAAUUUUAACUCUGGAGUCCUCUAUGCUAAGGAUGCUCAGCUUACAGAUGAUGAAAUGUUCAGUAAUGUUUUAUUAUUUUUACCCUGUUAUGUCUGUUUCCUCAGUAUUUGCUGCAGCUCUGCUUACCCAAGGUUUGGGUAAAACAAGCUUUGGGUUCCUUCUGUCUCACUGGGAGUUGCCCAAUUCAGUUGCAUCUGGUGAAAUUCACCCUGAGACCUUACAGAACCAGCUCCAACUACGUGAGAGCCAUUUGCAGUUCUCUCCAGACGCCUGGAGAAUGGGCGACGUUUCUGAGGAUCCGGCGAGCGUGCUUCUGUCAAAACUCAGUCUGUGAAGUUUCUGGGGAAAACCCUUCUGUGUCCUGAAGGGUUCAAACUCUGGUGAGGAUCCAGUUAUCAGGUGCUCACCUGGAUGGUUCCAGCUGCCAAAGGUAACACUUGUACUCUUGCCCUGUAGUUUACAUCUAUUGUAUUUUUGUUAUUUUGCAGGAUUUUUUGUCUUUGCAAAAUAUUGUGCAUUUCACUCUUUGGAACCUCUCAGAUGGUUCUUUGGUGCAGCACCACCCCAUGGGACACUUGGCUGCUGUCCUGAAGGGGAUGGUCGCUAGAAUUGUAAAUCCUGGAGUGUUUAUAAGUCUUCUGUCCCCAGGGAGGUGUCAUGCUUGGUUUACUUUUGUUCUGUUGGUUAGGCGCUGCUUCUCGUUGCAAGUAUGAAUUUCAAACUGCCCUGUUCUUUUUUUAACUGUUUUCCUGGUUCUCUCUGUCCGGCAGGGAAAGACUCUCGUAUCCUUGUCGUCGGGCUCGGUGCUGUCCAAGAAGAUACAGAGACUAAAAAAAUCAUAAGAAGCAAAAUAUGACUGCAGGGAAAAGAAGCUGGAGAGAACAGAAGACUCAUCACGGCGGGACAGCGUGAGGACUGAAAGUGUAAGAAGAUGUGGAGGGAAACAGAGAAUCUGACAGGAGCAGCGAACGCACGAGUGCACGAAUUUUGCUUUUUGCUUGGAUGUAAACUCAGGAGUUGAAAGGAAUUUGGGAGUGAGAAGGGACAUUUCAGAAGGAGAAGAAGAAAA